CGGGGCUAAACCAUGCACCGAAGCUGCGGCAGCGACGCUAUGUGUUGUUGGGUAGGCGAGCGUUCUGUAAGCCUGAGAAGGUGUGCUGUGAGGCAUGCUGGAGGUAUCAGAAGUGCGAAUGCUGACAUAAGUAACGAUAAAGCGAGUGAAAAGCCCGCUCGCCGGAAGACCAAGGGUUCCUGUCCAUCGUUAAUCGGGGCAGGGUGAGUCGACCCCUAAGUCGAGGCCGUAAGGCGUAGUCGAUGGUAAAC
rnacentral:rRNA from 1 species